UAAACUUGUUCGUGUAUUUUACUGGAAAAAAAUUACAGUACCGUUUUGUGCCUGUACGACCUGGAGGAUAAUAUCAUGUUCACAGACAUUUAAUUCAAGCCAGGAUCAAUGGAUGAACAGAAAGAGAGAGCACUUGACAUUCCUACCCCACCUUAAUGUUAACUUAAACAACAGGUGGCUCAAAUUCUAGAUCCUCUGGUGCUUCAGUGAAGACAAUGCUUACCUUGUAUUAUGGCCAAGAGAAUGACAAUCACGAAGAAGAAGAAGGUGAUGUCAAAGAUGAUUCGAUAGAUCUCAUAUUCAUCGCCUGCUGGGUCUUCGAUUUCAUCACCGAUCCCUCCUCCAGCACGUACCCCGACAUACAUGUGGAACAUAUAGCACUGGAAAGGAGAGAACGGUCACUGCUUGAGGAACACUGCAAACCUAAGAUUCUCCCUCUAGUUCCUAAUCCUCACUCUGGAAGUGACAUGCACAGCUGGAGACAAGACCAUGGAAUGAUGCUAAAUUACCAAAACUAAGGAAACUUUUUCUUAAGAUAUCUGUGACUUGUAGAAGUGUAAAAAUACUCAUUUGUAAACAAAUCAAAGCAUUCAAUCUUUCUCUCUACCCAUACCCUCAAAUUCAAAGGUC